rnacentral:rRNA from 1 species
UACGAAGGGGGCUAGCGUUGUUCGGAAUUACUGGGCGUAAAGCGCACGUAGGCGGAUUUGUAAGUCAGGGGUGAAAUCCCGGGGCUCAACCUCGGAACUGCCUUUGAUACUGCACGUCUCGAGUCCGGAAGAGGUGGGUGGAAUUCCUAGUGUAGAGGUGAAAUUCGUAGAUAUUAGGAAGAACACCGGUGGCGAAGGCGGCCCACUGGUCCGGUACUGACGCUGAGGUGCGAAAGCGUGGGGAGCAAACAGG